rnacentral:tRNA from 1 species
GCCACGGUAGUCUAGCGGUUAGAACGCUGGCCUUGUAAUCCUGGGGUCUCGGGUUUGAUUCCCGACGGUGCCC